UGGCGGCAGGCCUAACACAUGCAAGUCGAGCGGUAGAGAGGUGCUUGCAUCUCUUGAGAGCGGCGGACGGGUGAGUAAUGCCUAGGAAUCUGCCUAGUGGUGGGGGAUAACGUUCGGAAACGGACGCUAAUACCGCAUACGUCCUACGGGAGAAAGCGGGGGGAUCUUCGGACCUCGCGCCAUUAGAUGAGCCUAGGUCGGAUUAGCUAGUUGGUGAGGUAAUGGCUCACCAAGGCGACGAUCCGUAACUGGUCUGAGAGGAUGAUCAGUCACACUGGAACUGAGACACGGUCCAGACUCCUACGGGAGGCAGCAGUGGGGGAUAUUGGACAAUGGGCGCAAGCCUGAUCCAGCCAUGCCGCGUGUGUGAAGAAGGCCUUCGGGUUGUAAAGCACUUUCAGCGAGGAGGAAGAGUUGUGUGUUAAUAGUACACAGCUUUGACGUUACUCGCAGAAGAAGCACCGGCUAACUCGUGUG
rnacentral:rRNA from 1 species